rnacentral:lncRNA from 1 species
UCCCAAUUUGUUGUUUUUAGUGUAAUUAUGAUGUGUGUGGUUCUUUUAUGGCAAAUAUGAAUUUUAAAAAAAAAACAUAAAUGAAUACACAUAUAUGUAUGUAUAUGUAUGUAUAUGUAUGUAUAUAUAUAAUGGUUUUUUUAAAAAGAUGUGCAUUAUAAGCACUCAAAAUGAUUAUGAUUAUUUUAUCAAAUAUAUGUAUUUCAAAAAAACUAUAAUUACAAAGAAGUUGCUAAAUAUUUGUUAGAUAUAUUGAAAAUUAUUUUCUAUUAAAAAUAUGUAUUGAUCAAUUGGACAUUUAUUUUGAAAUAUAAAAGAAAAUGUACAGUAGAGAGUAUUGAUAUACUUCAUAAAGGCAUAAACUUCAUUUCAAAUAAAGCAUAAGAAUAUAUGUUGAUUUAUGUCAACAUAGUGUGCCAAAAGGUCUACUUAUACAUUCUUUUUUGUACUAAAUCUUUUUCCACAAACCUUAUAAUUAACUCUUUACAUUAUUUUAGGCUUUUUUCAUGUGUUUUCAAUUUUUUAUAUUGAAAGAUAUUUAAAAACGUUAUCAGUGUUUAUUUUUGUGGUAAUUUAAUGAAGUUCAUAGAUAGUUUUUUUUAUCUCCCAGUUGAAAGUUUCAAUAAAUUUUGAAACCAAUCACAAUAAUUUUAUUAAAACCUAAACAUUAAUAUAUUUUUUAGUGUUGUAUAAGAAUUUGAAAUACAGAUAGUUAAAAUAAAAUCCUCAUAAAACAAUAUUGUCAUACAAACAGAUUCAUUAUUUGUUCAUAUUGUGUGGAUUAUUUAUAUACAUAUAUACAUGCUUAAUAUGUGUGCAAUUUGAAACAAUAUUGUAGUAUACCAUUCUCAUUACAAACUGCUAACACACAAGUAUUUCUUGAGGUUAUCAAGUUUUUUAUAAAAUUUCACCAUUGGAAGAAGCUUAUAUGUAUUAAUAAAUCAUUGUAAAAUUUGAAUUAACACAACAUGAAUUCCUUUCUUAAGGAUAAACAAACAGUAGAAAAAGAACAAUCAUUCAUUGCAAUGUUCUGUUACAAUUGUGAUUCACUCUGAAGUCAAACAAAUCCAAAAUCAAGAGAAUGUUCAAAGCAUAGACUAAAAGAUAGAAAAUACAGGCUCUCAAAAUUUGACCCCUUUUGCCUUACUCCCCUUUCAUCUCUCUCUCUCUCUCUCUAUAUAUAUAUAUAUAUAUAUAUAUGUUCAUAUUUCAGGCAGCAGCUUGUUUUCAAAUCUGGUUAUUCUAACUGUUUUGGAGGAACACUCAAAUCCCUUGGUAUACAUGGGAGAAACUGAGGCAAGAGUGAUGCUGUUGGAGAGUGGCCAUGAUUUUUCUGUGUGGUUAUGCAGAGACCAAUGCAAAUGCUUCUUUCAGCAUCCAAAUAUUUAAGAAGCUGAGGAGAGAGGGAUCAGAUGAUUCUCCAAGCACAGGCAGAGACACUUGGCAUAAGGAUUUUGAAGGGAGGGCAAGGGGAUGUGGACAGAGAAGGCAAUGCUAAAUUAAGAUGAGGCCCUGCACAACCCUGUGGGGCCUUGAAUCCAAUGCAAUCCCCACACU